CUCUCUGUCUUUUCCUGUCUUUCUCCCUCCCUUAUUUUCUCUUUCUUUAAGAAAAGAUGUAUUCAUUUAUGUAUUUUAUGUGUAUGUGUGAAUGCCUGCAUGUAUGUAUGCACCACAUGCGUGCCUGUGCCUGCUGCCCACAGAAGCCAGAAGUCAUUGGUUCUCCUGGAGCUGUAGUAUUGCAGACCCAUAACUGGUGUUACACCCCCACUCCCUGCCACCACAAAUACUGAGUCCAUUCCAGGAAUAGAAACCGCCGAAGGAUUACAUUCUCCACGGAGAACGAUCUCUAUGAAGGUAGCUAACCAAGCCAGCUUUUCCCCUUUUAUAAGCAACAGUUCCAGUGUCUUGCUGC
rnacentral:lncRNA from 1 species